UACAAACCAAAUAGAAGACUAUAAAAAUAUUAUGACACCUCUUCCUCAACAAAAAAUCCAAAAAAGAAAAGAUCCGAUGAAAAUACUCUUCAAGAAGCAGUUAGUAAAAUGGUUCAACAAAUAUUGAAGACUAUGAUUCGAGAUUUAGAUGAUAAUUCAGAAAAAAAAACUAUUGUUGAAGAUGAACAAAGAAGAGACACUCCUAUGCCGGCUUAUUUGUCAUGUCCGAAUGAUAAUGUAUCUAGCGAAGAAAGUGGAAGCAAUAAUUCAGAAAAUCAAUUGGAUCUAAAUGGAGACAACAAUCAAUCAUACGGUGCAUUUUCUUUUGAUUCAAUUGCCAGACAUAGUCUUGACACUUGAAGAUUUUUUUUUACUACUGAAGAUUCUCUAGAAGAUAAAAAAACAAUAAUUUUAGUCAACAAUGAUAGACAAGACAUUUACUAUUACAAAAUUCCAUUUCAAAGAAGGCAACAACUUCCAUUAUGAAGCAUUGAUGGAAAAGACCUCCGCCACAAAUUUCCACCGUCUAAAUUUAUGGAGACAACUUUAUCAAGGACACUUGUGCAUUUUUCAAUAGUUUUGGUGAUAUUUUCCCUUUCAAAUUCCCUAUAUAAAGAAGCAUUUGUUUAGAAGUUAGACACAACUACUAAGAAGCAAAAAACCUCUCACCUUUCACUCUUUUAACCCAUUCACUUAAAAGUUCUUAAAGCUCUUCUUCUACUUUGUUGUAUAAACGUUGUAAGAUAUCCAAGUUUGCAUGUAAGUUUCUUUCCUUUAUUUACUUUUAGUUUUUAAGGGAUUUCCCGAAAUGGAAAACCUUUAGUCCUUUAAUAUCAUGUAAUUUUAGUUCGAAGUUCCUAUAUGUUUGUAUCAUAUUUUAUUUCUCAUCUGUAAGUAUAUUGUAAAAUAUAUUGUAAUAUAAAAUAAAGUUUGUUUAAUAAAAAUAUUGUCUAUAAUAAUAUUUGUUAAUAUCUCAUCUUAAUAGUAUUAUAAUCUUUAUUUCUUACUAAGCGGCCCACAUAUUGGACAGACGAAGAGCCAUAGUGAGCCUAUUAUAAAGUCCUUUUCUGAUGGGGAAAGAUAUUCCCUAGAGAUUANCCCCACCAGAAAAGGACUUCAUAAUAGGCUCACUCCGGCACUUCGUGUGUCCAAUAUGUAGGUCACUUAGUAAGAAAUAAAGAUUGAUUAUAACACUAUUAAGAUUAGAUAUUAACAAAUAUUAUUAUAGACAAUAUUUUUAUUAAACAAACUUCAUUUUAUCUUACAAUAUAUUUUACAAUAGACUUAUAUAUGAGAAAUAAAAUAUCAUACAAACAUAUGAGAACUUCGAACUAAAAUUACAUGAUAUUAAAGGACUUAAGGAUUUUCCUUUUGGGAAAUCCCUUAAAAACUAAAUGUAAAUAAAAGAAAGAAACUUACAUGCAAACUUGGAUAUGUUACAACGUUUAUACAACAAAGUAGAAGAAUAGCUUCAAGAACUUUUAAGUGAAUGGGUUGAAAGAGUGAGAGGUGAGAGGUUUUUUGCUUCUUAGUAGUUGUGUCUAACUUCUAAACAAAUGCUUCUUUAUAUAGGGAAUUUGAAAGGAAAAAUAUCACCGAAACUAUUGGAAAAUGCACAAGUGUCCUUGAUAAACUUGUCUCCAUAAAUUUAGACGGUGGAAAUUUGUGGUGGAUGUCUUUUCCAUCAAUGCUUCAUAAUGGAAGUUGUUGCCUUCUUUGAAAUGAAAUUUUGUAAUAGUAAAUGUGUUGUCUAUCAUUGUUGACUAAAAUUAUCAUUUUUAUUUUAUUUUAUUUUAUUAUUUUUCUAUCUUCUAGAGAAUCUUCAAUAGUAAAAAAUCUUCAAGUGACAAGAUUGUGUCUGGCAAUCGAAUCAAAUGAAAAUGAACCAUCUGAUUGAUUGUUGUCUUCAUUUAGAUCAAAUUGAUUUUCUGAAAUAUUGCUUCCACUUUCUUCGCUAGAUACAUUAUCAUUUGGACAUGACAAAUAAGCUCACAUAGGAGUGUCUCUUCUUUGUUCAUCUUCAACCAUAGUUUUUUUUUUGAAUUAUCAUCUAAAUCUGGAAUCAUAGUCUUUAAUAUUUCUUGAACCAUUUUAUUAACUGCUUCUUGAAGAGUUUUUUCAUCGAAUCUUUUUUUUUUUGGAUUUUUUCUAGAGGAAGAGGCUUCAUAAUAAUUUUUUUUAUGGUCUUCUAUUUCAUUUGUAAUAUUUAGGAGGCUUUCUUGAGAAUAAUUUUUAUUUUGAGCAUCUUUAAAAAUACAGGUAUCUGGGUUUUCUGGGAUUAGGGUAAAAGAGGGAAAUUCUGGAUUAUUUGGAUCGGGUGAAGGGCUAUAUCUGACUAAGAAAUCUUUGUGUUUUCCUGGAUCUCCAAGUGAAUCCUAAAUUUCUAUUGUUUGUUUAUUUGAAUUUGUAGAGGAAAAUGGAGUCCCCUGUGUCUCCUUACUUUUGUUUGUAGAGGAUCAGGAGUCCUCUAUGUCUCUAAAGAAUUUAGCAAUCCCAUUGCUAUCACCGGAUUUGAUAAGUCUUUACCAAUUUUUGAGUCGUUGGACUCACUGGACUAGCUAGUAACUUCUCUGGCUUACUAGUACCUUAUGUAUCACUCAUUGGGGAGUGAGUACCCAUCUUACUCUUCUUUCCGGGAUCAAAAGCGGAUCCGAUAGAAAGAUUUAUUACUUCUGUUUGUUGAGAAUGAAAACUUUUUUAUAAAUUGUUAAUUCUAUUAAUUAGAUCUUGUUUUUCGUUUCUAAGCUUGUAGAUUUCUUCAUUUAAAAGUUUGUAAUUAUUUUUCAUGGUUUCAUAGUGAUCACAAAUAAAAAUUUGACUUGAAUCUCUAGUUACUGAAUAAGUAACCAGAGGUUCUAC
rnacentral:lncRNA from 1 species